rnacentral:rRNA from 1 species
CGAGCGGCGAACGGGUGAGUAAUGCUUGGGAAUCUGCCCAUUAGUGGGGAACAACCAGCCGAAAGGUUGGCUAAUACCGCAUACGCCCUACGGGGGAAAGCGGGGGAUCGUAAGACCUCGCGCUAAUGGAUGAGCCCAAGUCGGAUUAGCUUGUUGGUAGGGUAACGGCCUACCAAGGCGACAAUCCGUAGCUGGUCUGAGAGGACGACCAGCCACACUGGGACUGAGACACGGCCCAG